rnacentral:tRNA from 1 species
UAUACUUAAAUAUUUGAUGUAUAUUAAUUUUUGAUAUUAAAAGAGAUAGUUUAAUUCUGUCAAGUAUAU